rnacentral:rRNA from 1 species
UACAGAGGUCCCAAGCGUUGUUCGGAUUCACUGGGCGUAAAGGGUGCGUAGGUGGUCGGGUAAGUCUGAGGUGAAAUCUCCGAGCUCAACUCGGAAACUGCCUUGGAUACUAUUCGGCUAGAGGGUUGGAGGGGGGACUGGAAUUCUCGGUGUAGCAGUGAAAUGCGUAGAUAUCGAGAGGAACACCAGUGGCGAAGGCGAGUCCCUGGACAACUCCUGACACUGAGGCACGAAAGCGUGGGGAGCAAACAGG